rnacentral:rRNA from 1 species
AGUGUAGGCGGCUAUUUAAGUCGGAUGUGAAAGCCCCGGGCUCAACCUGGGAAUUGCAUUCGAAACUGGGUAGCUAGAGUUUGGUAGAGGUAAGUGGAAUUCCGGGUGUAGCGGUGAAAUGCGUAGAUAUCCGGAGGAACAUCAGUGGCGAAGGCGGCUUACUGGACCAAAACUGACGCUGAGGCUCGAAAGCGUGGGGAGCAAACAGGAUUAGAUACCCUGGUAGUCC